rnacentral:rRNA from 1 species
AAUGUUUUCAUUAAUCAAGAACGAAAGUUAGAGGUUCGAAGGCGAUCAGAUACCGCCCUAGUUCUAACCGUAAACUAUGCCUACUAGAUGUAUGAAUUAUUAGUUAUAAUAAUUUAUGCAUCUUCUCGGAAACGAAAGUCUUUCGGUUCCGGGGGAAGUAUGGUUGCAAAGCUGAAACUUAAAGGAAUUGACGGAAGGGCACCACCAGGAGUGGAGCCUGCGGCUUAAUUUGACUCAACACGGGAAAACUCACCCGGGCCGGACACUAUAAGGAUUGACAGAUUGAUAGCUCUUUCAUGAUUUAGUGGUUGGUGGUGCAUGGCCGUUCUUAGUUCGUGGAUAUGAUUUGUCUGGUUGAUUCCGAUAACGAGCGAGACUUUUAUGUUAUAUUAAAUAUUAUUAUUUUGUUUAUUUUAAUAUAAAUAAUUAAUAUUUUAAUAACAGAUUAAUAGUGUUUAACUAUUUGAGAGAGAGCGAUAACAGGUCUGUGAUGCCCUUAGAUGUCCGGGGCUGCACGCGCGCUACAAU